AACUUGGAUAAUUGUUUACAACUAAUUGAUCACAACCAGUUACAGAUUCCUUUGUUCCUUCUCCACUCCCACUGCUCCACUUGACCAGUCUUAA
rnacentral:sRNA from 1 species